AUACGGAGGAUCCGAGCGUUAUCCGGAUUUAUUGGGUUUAAAGGGUGCGUAGGCGGACUGGUAAGUCAGCUGUGAAAGUUUGCGGCUUAACCGUAAAAUUGCAGUUGAUACUGUCAGUCUUGAGUGUGCAUGAGGUGGGCGGAAUUUGUGGUGUAGCGGUGAAAUGCUUAGAUAUCACGAGGAACUCCAAUUGCGAAGGCAGCUCACUGCGGCAUAAAUGACGAUGAUGCACGAAGGGGUUAGUAACCAACAGGAGUAGAUCUCGUGGUAGUCCACACAGUAAACGAUGAAUGCUCGCUGUGUACGAUAUACAGUAAGCGGCCAAGCGAAAGCAUUAAGUACUCCACCUGGGGAGUACGCCGGCAACGGUGAAACUCAAAUGAAUUGACGGGG
rnacentral:rRNA from 1 species